rnacentral:rRNA from 1 species
UACGGAGGGUGCGAGCGUUGUCCGGAAUCACUGGGCGUAAAGGGCGCGUAGGCGGCGCGGAUAGUCGGCGGUGAAAGCCCGGAGCUCAACUCCGGGUCGGCCGUCGAUACUUCCGGGCUUGAGCACUGUAGAGGCAGAUGGAAUUCCGGGUGUAGCGGUGGAAUGCGCAGAUAUCAGGAGGAACACCGAUGGCGAAGGCAGCUCGGCUGGGACGGUACUGACGCUGAGGCGCGAAAGCGUGGGGAGCAAACAGG